rnacentral:rRNA from 1 species
AAACCAGCACCUCAAGUGGUCAGGAUGAUUAUUGGGCCUAAAGCAUCCGUAGCCUGCUCUGUAAGUUUUCGGUUAAAUCUGUACGCUCAACGUACAGGCUGCCGGGAAUACUGCAGAGCUAGGGAGUGGGAGAGGUAGACGGUACUCGGGAGGAAGUGGUAAAAUGCUUUGAUCUCUCGAUGACCACCUGUGGCGAAGGCGGUCUACCAGAACACGUCCGACGGUGAGGGAUGAAAGCUGGGGGAGCAAACCGGAUUAGAUACCCCAGUAGUCC